CAGACUGGCGUUGGUGGUUGAUCCUCGUGGCUGUGGUGGUUUUUAUAGUUCUGUUAGUGGUCGUUGUGAAAGUCAUCAGAUGGAAAGGAAACAGAACGCAGAUGGGUGACGAUGUUGCUGAUCCUGAAGGCGGGGUUUCCUACACCUCCAUCAGAUACAACAAGAAGGGAAAAAGAGGAGCUCGGGUUUGUGCUAAAGACGAUGCUGACGAUGGUUCAGUGACCUAUGCCUCCGUCAAAGAUUCUUCUUCUUCUUAAACCGUGUGCACGGAUUUGCAAUCUGCAGGCACACUUUCAGUUUAAGAAACCGUGCGCACUGUUUUGAAAUCUGUGUGCACCAUUUAGGAAUCUGUGCCCACAGAUUGUAAAUCAGUGUGCAUGGAUUUGCCGAAAUGAUCGACAGCUUUUUAUUUUUUGUCUCACCUGAGCCUUGCAGGGCUCAGUAGAAAACAGAUACUGAUAGAUGUGUUUGUAUGAGACUUUGUGUUGUUAACUUUCAAGAGUUAUUGCUUUAAGAUGCUUUUUUUCUCCAACAAAUGGCGUUGUAAGGUCAGCACAAACACCUAGCAUUAUACCUCUGCAUGAAAUUUAAAUUUACGGAGACUCUGAAGUCCCAAAAGUACAAAAACUGAAAUCUUGUGUGAACACGAUAAUUAUAUAAAGGACUGGUAUUCAGAAAAA